rnacentral:lncRNA from 1 species
UUAAUUUCACUUUUGGUCCCUCUAUUUUGAAGUUUUUUAAAUUUUAGUCCCACCAUUUUAAAAACCGAUUUUUUUAUCCCUAAAGUUCAAUUCCCUUGGGAUUUCCAUGGUCCCCCUCCAUUGGGCAGUCUCAUUAAUGACAUGGCACAUUUGCUUAAGUUCUUUUUUGUAACACUGCUGAUUUAAUUUGAAAGGUCCAACAUGUUUAGGUUAUGUGUUGUAACAUGUUCUAUGUUGAAAGAUACAAUAUUGUGUAACUUGACAUGAUA